ACAUUCGAACUUCGUGGCUCAAGUACACAUCCUUCACUCACUCAAUGCAAAAUUUAUAAAGAGCACACUCACCCUCCUAAGGAGCAUGCUCUUAGCUUUAUAGCUUUAAAAAAAUCUUAUUUUUUGUGAAUGUCCACAGAAAAUCCGGCAGUACAUGACCUUUGACUCAAUCACGCGCUUUACCCCAUCCUUCAUGUGCAUACUUAUAUAUUUACUUGCUGUAAGGCCUUCUGAAACGCGCUGAUAAACAUGAGGAAUCAGGAACCAAAUUCAGAGGACAGUGACGUCACCACAUCAUCGCUUUUCAUCGCUGCGUUUAUAAACCACUAGCUCCAUGGAUACGAGCAAAGAGGAUAACCCGUCCUGUUUGAUACCAGUCACACCGCAUGAACAACAACUGAGAUUCUAAGACAGACGUCGACAGGAGUUAUUUCAUGUGAUCAGCUACAUAAAUAUAUAAGCCACAAUGGAGUUUUGUCCCAGUCUUCUGGUUUGCCUGCUCUCCAUGUCCUGUUUAGUUUCUUCUGUUCGUUAUGGAGAUUUUUCUUCCGCCUUCGUCGCCCCAAAGUUGCCUCCUUACCCUUCCUUCGGCCUCUCGCCAAGUUUGGGAGGAUACGGUUCAGGCCCAGCCUCAGGACCUUCCUACAACAGACUGUUUCCUGGUUACAACAUCGCGUCUGGCAACAACUUUGGACUGCAGGGCAGCGGAGUCUACACAAGCGACUACAAGACCGGUGCUGGCUUGAGUCCGACAUUCUCUGGAGUGCCACCCAGUCGGAGCCAACAGUACCCUGGCUUCAAUGGAGGAUCCUCCCCCCUGCCUAGCGGUUCUGGCUUUAACAGUUACUCUGGUAACCUUCCACGUGUCGGCAUGUCAGCAAUACGUGCUCAGCCCUAUGGCGCCUCUCCUCCCAUCGGUUACCAGACUGGUUCCUUCGGGGGGUACGACGAGCCAAGUCACGUGGGCAAGAAGCCGUUCACACUUUAUGGCCAGUGAUUUCACCAAGUAUACGUGCACUGUCUUGUUCCAGCAACGUGUUUCCAGAACAUAAUCUUCACUUCUUUACUUCAGUAAAAAUAUAAUUUUAUCAACCUC